UACGUAGGGUGCUAGCGUUGUCCGGAUUUAUUGGGCGUAAAGAGCUCGUAGGCGGUGUGUCACGUCGGCCGUGAAAACCUGGGGCUUAACUCUGGGCGUGCGGUCGAUACGGGCAUCACUAGAGUUCGGCAGGGGAGACUGGAAUUCCUGGUGUAGCGGUGAAAUGCGCAGAUAUCAGGAGGAACACCGGUGGCGAAGGCGGGGUCUCUGGGGCCGAUACUGACGCUGAGGAGCGAAAGCAUGGGUAGCGAACAGG
rnacentral:rRNA from 1 species